rnacentral:rRNA from 1 species
GACGAACGCUGGCGGCGUGCUUAACACAUGCCAGUCGAACGGAAAGGCCCUGCUUUUGUGGGGUGCUCGAGUGGCGCACGGGUGAGUAACACGUGAGUAACCUGCCCUUGACUUUGGGAUAACUUCAGGAAACUGGGGCUAAUACCGGAUAGGAGCUCCUGCUGCAUGGGGGGGGUUGGAAAGUUUCGGCGGUUGGGGAUGGACUCGAGGCUUAUCAGCUUGUUGGUGGGGUAGUGGCUUACCAAGGCUUUGACGGGUAGCCGGCCUGAGAGGGUGACCGGCCACAUUGGGACUGAGAGACGGCCCAGACUCGUACGGGAGGGAGCAGUGGGGAAUCUUGCACAAUGGGCGGAAGCCUGAUGCAGCAACGCCGCGUGCGGGAUGACGGCCUUCGGGUUGUAAACCGCUUUCGCCUGUGACGAAGCGUGAGUGACGGUAAUGGGUAAAGAAGCACCGGCUAACUACGUG